CUUCCUGGGAGUGAUGUUUCCUGGGAGUGACAUAUUUCUUCUUCUUCCCAGAAUGCUUCUCUCUCUCUCGCUCUCUGACCACCAUGUACCCAGCAGCUAAGUAUAGGUCUUUCCUAUCAUUAUGUACUUCUCAAUAACUUUAAAUGGAUCUCCAUGCUUAUCAUUUACAAGCUGUUGCCCCGAGGCCCUGUUAGCUUCUGCUGUAAGGGGAGCGAGUUAGCUCCUGAAAUACUCUGCUAUAUAUAUUUAAGUAAAGGUAGAGUGUGCCGUCAAGUCGGUUUCGACUCCUGGCAACCCCAGAGCCCUGUGGUUGUCUUUGGUAGAAUACAGGAGGGUUUUACCAUUGCCUCCUGCUGUGCAGUAUGGGAUGAUGCCUUUCAGCAUCUUCCUAUAUCGCUGCUGCCCGACAUAGGUGUUCAUACCAGCGAGGAUUUAAACCGGCAACCUCAUGCUUGCUAAGCAAGUCAUUUCCCUGCUGUGCCAUUUGGGCACCCCAGCCUCAUAGCAAUAGCAAUAGCACUUACAUUUAUAUACCGCUUUAUAGCCGAAGCUCUCUAAGCGGUUUACAAUGAUUUAGCAUAUUGCCCCCCAACAAUAUGCUCAUUUUACCGACCUCGGAAGGAUGGAAGGCUGAGUCAACCUUGAGCCCCUGGUCAGGAUCGAACUUGUAACCUUCUGGUUACAGGGCGGCAGUUUUACCACUGCGCCACCAGGGGCUCAUACUUCAAAUAUUGCUUAUUAUCUCCAACAGUGACAGAGGGCUGGCAACAGGGAUGUGGGGUGGCACUCAUAUCAGGGAGUGGAGUGCCUGCACUUGCUGCCUCAUGGUACACUCAUCACUGGCGGUAACUGUCUGACCCUGUCUCAUUAUAGGUCUAUUCCUGGUGAAGGUCUCCAACAGGGGAGUGGGUGAUAUUUCCCCUUUCCCAUACUGGAGAUCUUAGGACAUGUAAUGUAUGGGACUUUUGCAUCCAUCCUGAGUAUACUUCCAGUCCCUGUGCUAGGCUUUUAUGUGCAUGUCUGGAGUGGACUGAGGAAUCCAUGGUGGAUUCUAAGACCCACUCCAGAGCUUUGGCAGAGGAUGGAAUAAUUCCUCUUUCCACCAAAACUUCAUUGAGAAGGAAGCAUUUACACCCACUCUGGUUCUUCAUAUGUUGCAAGUGAUUAUAUGCAUAUGGAUGCUGAGAUAUUCUAGCACAGGCCUGCACAACUUUGGCCCUCCAGCUGUUUGGGACACAGUGGCCAACAGUCAGACAUGAUGGGAGUUGUAGUCCCACAUCUGCAGGAGAGCUAAAGUUGUGCUAGCCCUGUACCAGCAUUUCAGCAUGCAUACAUAGAUAGUUACUAUGUGCAUAUUUAAAUCAGGGUGGCAACCAGCUUGGUAUGAAAUAACACCCCAAAAGAUUAGUGUGAAUCAUGUCUUUGAGCAAGCUGGAAGUGCUCUUAAUGAUCUGAAUCUCAGCUAUCCUGCUGCUCCAUCUGCAGCAUCUCUCCUAAUUUAAUAUCUUAUUUCAGACACAAAAUGGUGCAUCUUGUUUUCUUAUUCCUAAUCCAUUUAGCACAAAAGAAACAAUGCAUCAAUCAACAGAAACUUAAAUCAACAGCUUACUCAGCACAAACCCUUUUUAAGAUAAUAUACACCAAUUUGCCGUCCAUCUCGGCUCCCCAAAGAGGUCAUUUGUCAGAAGACUCCAGUGAAUGACAUUUUUCACCAUUGUGAUGCUUUACAUUUCGCUUGGCUGCCACCCAAGAAUGAGAAAUAAAGUAAAGUCUUAUGAUUACAAAGAAGCAAUGUGAGUCAAAUUGUCACAGUGUGUGACCUUGUGGAAAAUAAUACAAUUAGGUGGAGCUGAGUGGCAGAACAAAUACUUGACUUUGACCUCCUGCUUCCUCCUGGUCCUUGACUCCUGUCUUGGCUCUCUGGUUCCUGGCAGAUUUAUUUGGCUCAACUCCUGGCAUGUCCUUGGUUCCUGCCACCACCCUCCAGCUCUAGUUCAUAUACCUGGCUGGCCCCAGUGUUCCUGAUUCUCCCAGCCUGGCUUUUGGGCUCACACUCUAUGUUCAUUUUUGACAGCUAACAGAAGAAUCUGCAAUGAAAAACACUCAGUACUAUGAAGUUCCAUCUCAACUUCUGCUGUGUGAAUAAGAUGUAAGAUUUAUCUCUGAAAGUUUGACGUUGCCAUAUUUACUACAUAAAACACAGCUUUCUACAACAUGGACAUUCAAUGUUUAUAAGAACCUAUAAACAGGAUCCAAUUCACCAAUAUAUUUCCAGAUGUUAACAGGAUUCAGAAUUCACACAGAAGUUGUCCUGCAACCUAGCAUAUCGUCACAUGCACACCGGGAAAAUAAGAUCUCCAAAGUCAAGCUUUGUACCAUUUUGCUCUGUAAACAAAAAGUAGUUGAAGCAACCCAAACAAUCUAUUGAUGUUGCCUUCAGGUUUCUUUUUUUCCCUCAUCAAGCAUCAAAACAAACAUUAAACCUCCCUGUGAAAAUGUUUUCAGACUCUA